GUUUGUUUGGAGUUAUAAAGAAUCUAACCUGCCCACUGAAUAUUAAUUUGAAGGGCCGCAGUAUUUUAACUGUGCAAAGGUAGCAUAAUCAUUAGAUUUUUAAUUGUAAUCUUGUAUGAAUGGUUGGACAAAAGAAGAACUCUCUUUAUAUUAAAUUUGAAUUUAACUUUUAAGUGAAAAGGCUUAAAUGUUCUAAAGGGACGAUAAGACCCUAUAAAACUUUACAUUGUAAUUAGUAUUUAAUUGAAUUUAUAGUAAAGAUUUAAUUUAAUUAUUUGUUUUGUUGGGGAGACAUAGGUAAAAUUUAUUUUAACUGCUUAAUAGAUUAAACAAUUAUUUAUGGGUAAGAUAGAAGAUCCUUUAUAGAGAAUAAUAGGUUAAGUUACUUUAGGGAUAACAGCGUAAUUUCUUUUGAGAGUUCUUAUCGAGAAAGGAGAUUGCGACCUCGAUGUUGAAUUAAAUAUUCUAUAUAAUGGAGAAGUUAUAUAAGAAGGUCUGUUCGACCUUUAAAUUUUUACAUGAUUUGAGUUCAAACCGGUGUAAG
rnacentral:rRNA from 1 species